rnacentral:rRNA from 1 species
GAGUUUGAUCCUGGCUCAGGAUGAACGCUAGCGGCAGGCCUAACACAUGCAAGUCGAGGGGCAGCGAGAUCAAAGCUUGCUUUGAUUGUCGGCGACCGGCGCACGGGUGCGUAACGCGUAUGCAACCUACCCAAAACAGGGGGAUAACACUGAGAAAUUGGUACUAAUACCCCAUAACAACAGAAGAGGCAUCUCUUUUGUUUGAAAACUCCGGUGGUUUUGGAUGGGCAUGCGUUGUAUUAGCUAGUUGGUGAGGUAACGGCUCACCAAGGCGACGAUACAUAGGGGGACUGAGAGGUUAACCCCCCACAUUGGUACUGAGACACGGACCAAACUCCUACGGGAGGCAGCAGUGAGGAAUAUUGGUCAAUGGACGCAAGUCUGAACCAGCCAUGCCGCGUGCAGGAUGACGGCUCUAUGAGUUGUAAACUGCUUUUGUAUGAGGGUAAACUCACCUACGUGUAGGUGACUGAAAGUAUCAUACGAAUAAGGAUCGGCUAACUCCGUGCCAGCAGCCGCGGUAAUACGGAGGAUUCAAGCGUUAUCCGGAAUUAUUGGGUUUAAAGGGUGCGUAGGCGGUUUGAUAAGUUAGAGGUGAAAUAUUAGGGCUUAACCCUGAAACUGCCUCUGAUACUGUCGAGCUAGAGAGUAGUUGCGGUAGGCGGAAUGUAUGGUGUAGCGGUGAAAUGCUUAGAGAUCAUACAGAACACCGAUUGCGAAGGCAGCUUACCAAACUAUAUCUGACGUUGAGGCACGAAAGCGUGGGUAGCAAACAGGAUUAGAUACCCUGGUAGUCCACGCCGUAAACGAUGUCGACUUGGAGGUUGUGCCCUUGAGGCGUGGCUUCCGGAGCUAACGCGUUAAGUCGACCGCCUGGGGAGUACGGCCGCAAGGUUAAAACUCAAAUGAAUUGACGGGGGCCCGCACAAGCGGUGGAGCAUGUGGUUUAAUUCGAUGCAACGCGAAGAACCUUACCUGGUCUUGACAUCCACGGAAGUUUUCAGAGAUGAGAAUGUGCCUUCGGGAACCGUGAGACAGGUGCUGCAUGGCUGUCGUCAGCUCGUGUUGUGAAAUGUUGGGUUAAGUCCCGCAACGAGCGCAACCCUUAUCCUUUGUUGCCAGCGGUCCGGCCGGGAACUCAAAGGAGACUGCCAGUGAUAAACUGGAGGAAGGUGGGGAUGACGUCAAGUCAUCAUGGCCCUUACGACCAGGGCUACCCACGUGCUACAAUGGCGCAUACAAAGAGAAGCGACCUCGCGAGAGCAAGCGGACCUCAUAAAGUGCGUCGUAGUCCGGAUUGGAGUCUGCAACUCGACUCCAUGAAGUCGGAAUCGCUAGUAAUCGUGGAUCAGAAUGCCACGGUGAAUACGUUCCCGGGCCUUGUACACACCGCCCGUCACACCAUGGGAGUGGGUUGCAAAAGAAGUAGGUAGCUUAACCUUCGGGAGGGCGCUUACCACUUUGUGAUUCAUGACUGGGGUGAAGUCGUAACAAGGUAGCCGUAG